AUCUACAAAAAAACCCAAAACACAGAGUUAAGCCUGCUCUCUACUUCAGUAUGUGCUUGGCACAAAAGCUAGUCAUCAUUUGUUAAGCCAUGUUUUAAUACACCUACAAAUCCUUAAUAUUUAGAAAUAAAAUCAAUUUUUCAAUAUUUGGUUGUAUUUAAUCAAUACAACACAUAAGAUUGUUUUAUAUUACUCAUUAUUUUUUGUUGGGAAAUGUGCUAAUCAUAUUACAAAGGGAGGAUUUUGUGCUUAACUUAAUCACUUUGUACAAGUCAGAUGACCAAGCUGAAAAUGACCUGAGUCACCAGAUUCCACGUGCUUCAAGAACUAACCCAAAACCCACUGAGGCCAACAGACUCCCAUUGGUUUCAACGCACUUGAGCUCAAGCUGUCAGAAUUCUGAUGUAUAUACGAAGCAAGAUGAAGGACCGUGGAGAAACAGAAAAACACCUGCAGCUAACGUGUCCCCUUACAACACUUCCAUUACAGUAGGAGUCUCUAUGGUUGUGAUUCUCCUCUUACACGCGGAGCUUCUGUAUGGGCAGCUUUAAGCUGCAUUAUAGAACACUGAGCCACGUUUGGAUGGUAUGGCACACACACAAGUCGCACCAGUUUAACUAGACUGAUUUAAAAUCAAUUUAAUUAAACUAGUGCAACUUUCCUCCCACAGACAUGGUAUUAGACUUGGUCUACACUUAGAAGUCAGGUCAACAUAGCUAUCUCAGUCAGGGGUGUGAAAAAACUACACCCCAACAGAUGUAGCUAUGCCAGCCUAAUCCCAGGGUAGACGCAGCUAUUUCAAUGAAUGAAUACUUCCAUCAACAUAGCUACCAUUGUUCAGGGAGGUAAUGUUUCUAUACCACUGCAAAACCCCUUCAGUUGCUGAAGGCUGUGUCUACGCUGUGCGGUCAUGCUGGCAUAGUUAUCGGGAUGUGGCUAUGGCAAUACAGUCUCUGUAGUAUAGAUAUACCCCAGUCUGUUACAAUGAAAUCCCUGCAAUUGCGAUUUCCCUAACAGAAGGGUAAACAAAGUGUGCCAUACCAUCCAAAUGUGGCUCAGAGUUCUAUAAUGCAGCUGAAAGCUGCCCAUACAGAAGCUCCAGCAUGCAAUGCUUCAUUUUGCUUCAAGUGACCUCACUGGGUGCACGCAGAGACUUUCCAGUCUGAGCACAUUAUUUGACAAAGUGAGAAUACCUGCACUCUGCUUUAUUCUCUGCAAAGGUAGGUUUGAUCCUGGCUAUCAGCAAACAGUCAAUGCAACCUCUGGAUACUUCCUCUGGCAUGUAAGAAUGCAGAACAUGUUCAUUCUCUAAGCUCUUUAACAUCUGUUUUCUCAGAAUUAAGUACUAAAAAGAUAUAGAACCUCACUGGGUGAAAUGACUUGUGACUGAAAAGGACAAAUAUUUUGGUUUGGUGGAAAUUAAAACAACAAACAAACAAAAAAUGAA